CCUUAUUUCUAAAGGCACCUUCCUAUUGAAGACCUUCCUUCACUGAUGGCUCUGGAAAAUGACCUCCGAUCAUCUCCAGACAAGAGGAAAAAACUGGUGCUUGAACUGGGGCUUAUUGGUGGUGCUGACAUCAAAGACACUGUCUGGCUCAUUUUGAAACAGACGAUUAAAAAUGAUCUAGCUAAAACUGUCAGCUGGCGAGGCGUGAAUGGGAAAACAGGUCUUCAAAGCCUGCAGCUGGAGAACGUUGUAACUGAAGCUGUAAGAAGAAACCCAGUAUGUUCCCAGGCCACUGAGAUGGAGGUAGAACGAGUCAUUAGAAGAUGGUUUCAUCUGGCUUGUGAUCGGGAGGGCGGGAG